CCAAGGACAUGUGUGCUAAAUUGUGUCUUAUUCCAGGCAAGUAUCGACCCUCCUGCCUCUGCUGCAUCCAACUACUGCCUUGAAAAAAAGCACUUACUGCUCACACGCCUAGGUUUUGUCAUUGUCUUUAUAAAAACGAAUUUGAUCAUCAAGCCAAAUCUUUCUUAAAGACCUCCAGUACCAGGGAACAUUGCACCCAGAAGUCAGGUCUAAAAACUCUACUACAGGAAUCUCUGAAAGAACCAGUCAUGACACAUCGUUCUUAAUGGAACUACCAUGCAAUACUUUAUUUUGAACACUGACUAGCCUUUGGUGAU